rnacentral:rRNA from 3 species
UCAAGUGAAGAAGCGCAUACGGUGGAUGCCUUGGCAGUCAGAGGCGAUGAAAGACGUGGUAGCCUGCGAAAAGCUUCGGGGAGUCGGCAAACAGACUGUGAUCCGGAGAUAUCUGAAUGGGGGAACCCAGCCAUCAUAAGAUGGUUAUCUUGUACUGAAUACAUAGGUGCAAGAGGCGAACCAGGGGAACUGAAACAUCUAAGUACCCUGAGGAAAAGAAAUCAACCGAGAUUCCCUUAGUAGUGGCGAGCGAACGGGGACCAGCCCUUAAGUUGUAUUGAGAUUAGCGGAACGUUCUGGAAAGGACGGCCAUAGUGGGUGAUAGCCCUGUACGCGAAAAUCCUUUUGCAAUGAAAUCGAGUAGGACGGGGCACGAGAAACCUUGUCUGAAUAUGGGGGGACCAUCCUCCAAGGCUAAAUACUACUGACUGACCGAUAGUGAACCAGUACCGUGAGGGAAAGGCGAAAAGAACCGCGGAGAGCGGAGUGAAAUAGAUCCUGAAACCGUAUGCGUACAAGCAGUGGGAGCCCACUUUGUUGGGUGACUGCGUACCUUUUGUAUAAUGGGUCAGCGACUUAUUUUCAGUGGCGAGCUUAACCGAAUAGGGGAGGCGUAGCGAAAGCGAGUCUUAAUAGGGCGUCUAGUCGCUGGGAAUAGACCCGAAACCGGGCGAUCUAUCCAUGGGCAGGUUGAAGGUUGGGUAACACUAACUGGAGGACCGAACCGACUACCGUUGAAAAGUUAGCGGAUGACCUGUGGAUCGGAGUGAAAGGCUAAUCAAGCUCGGAGAUAGCUGGUUCUCCUCGAAAGCUAUUUAGGUAGCGCCUCAUGUAUCACUGUAGGGGGUAGAGCACUGUUUCGGCUAGGGGGUCAUCCCGACUUACCAAACCGAUGCAAACUCCGAAUACCUACAAGUGCCGAGCAUGGGAGACACACGGCGGGUGCUAACGUCCGUCGUGAAAAGGGAAACAACCCAGACCGUCAGCUAAGGUCCCAAAGUCAUGGUUAAGUGGGAAACGAUGUGGGAAGGCUUAGACAGCUAGGAGGUUGGCUUAGAAGCAGCCACCCUUUAAAGAAAGCGUAAUAGCUCACUAGUCGAGUCGGCCUGCGCGGAAGAUGUAACGGGGCUCAAACCAUGCACCGAAGCUACGGGUAUCAUCUUUUGAUGAUGCGGUAGAGGAGCGUUCUGUAAGCCUGUGAAGGUGAGUUGAGAAGCUUGCUGGAGGUAUCAGAAGUGCGAAUGCUGACAUGAGUAACGACAAUGGGUGUGAAAAACACCCACGCCGAAAGACCAAGGUUUCCUGCGCAACGUUAAUCGACGCAGGGUUAGUCGGUCCCUAAGGCGAGGCUGAAAAGCGUAGUCGAUGGAAAACAGGUUAAUAUUCCUGUACUUCUGGUUAUUGCGAUGGAGGGACGGAGAAGGCUAGGCCAGCCUGGCGUUGGUUGUCCAGGUUUAAGGUGGUAGGCUGAGAUCUUAGGUAAAUCCGGGAUCUUAAGGCCGAGAGCUGAUGACGAGUGUUCUUUUAGAACACGAAGUGGUUGAUGCCAUGCUUCCAAGAAAAGCUUCUAAGCUUCAGGUAACCAGGAACCGUACCCCAAACCGACACAGGUGGUUGGGUAGAGAAUACCAAGGCGCUUGAGAGAACUCGGGUGAAGGAACUAGGCAAAAUGGCACCGUAACUUCGGGAGAAGGUGCGCCGGUGGAGGUGAAGCAUUUACUGCGUAAGCCCCUGCCGGUCGAAGAUACCAGGCCGCUGCGACUGUUUAUUAAAAACACAGCACUCUGCAAACACGAAAGUGGACGUAUAGGGUGUGACGCCUGCCCGGUGCCGGAAGGUUAAUUGAUGGGGUUAGCGCAAGCGAAGCUCUUGAUCGAAGCCCCGGUAAACGGCGGCCGUAACUAUAACGGUCCUAAGGUAGCGAAAUUCCUUGUCGGGUAAGUUCCGACCUGCACGAAUGGCGUAACGAUGGCGGCGCUGUCUCCACCCGAGACUCAGUGAAAUUGAAAUCGCUGUGAAGAUGCAGUGUAUCCGCGGCUAGACGGAAAGACCCCGUGAACCUUUACUAUAGCUUUGCACUGGACUUUGAAUUUGCUUGUGUAGGAUAGGUGGGAGGCUUUGAAGCGUGGACGCCAGUCUGCGUGGAGCCAACCUUGAAAUACCACCCUGGCAACUUUGAGGUUCUAACUCAGGUCCGUUAUCCGGAUCGAGGACAGUGUAUGGUGGGUAGUUUGACUGGGGCGGUCUCCUCCUAAAGAGUAACGGAGGAGUACGAAGGUGCGCUCAGACCGGUCGGAAAUCGGUCGUAGAGUAUAAAGGCAAAAGCGCGCUUGACUGCGAGACAGACACGUCGAGCAGGUACGAAAGUAGGUCUUAGUGAUCCGGUGGUUCUGUAUGGAAGGGCCAUCGCUCAACGGAUAAAAGGUACUCCGGGGAUAACAGGCUGAUACCGCCCAAGAGUUCAUAUCGACGGCGGUGUUUGGCACCUCGAUGUCGGCUCAUCACAUCCUGGGGCUGAAGCCGGUCCCAAGGGUAUGGCUGUUCGCCAUUUAAAGUGGUACGCGAGCUGGGUUUAGAACGUCGUGAGACAGUUCGGUCCCUAUCUGCCGUGGACGUUUGAGAUUUGAGAGGGGCUGCUCCUAGUACGAGAGGACCGGAGUGGACGAACCUCUGGUGUUCCGGUUGUCACGCCAGUGGCAUUGCCGGGUAGCUAUGUUCGGAAAAGAUAACCGCUGAAAGCAUCUAAGCGGGAAACUUGCCUCAAGAUGAGAUCUCACUGGAACCUUGAGUUCCCUAAAGGGCCGUCGAAGACUACGACGUUGAUAGGUUGGGUGUGUAAGCGCUGUGAGGCGUUGAGCUAACCAAUACUAAUUGCCCGUGAGGCUUGACCAU